UUUCUCCUGCUGCUCCUCCUCCUGGCCGAACGGGGUUCGGAGGAAAGCUGGGCCUCCGCCCCCUCGGCGGGGCGGGCGGGGAGGGCGCAGCACGUGCCGGCCUCGGGGGUCGGGCGGACGCGGGGGACGCGCUGCCGCCGGGGAGGCCCCGGAGCCCGGGAGGCGGCGGAAUGGGAAUGGAUAAAUGCACCGCCCAAGCCGCAGCCUCCGAUCGCCAAUCCGCCCGCAGCAAGUUGGUUCAACUCGGAAGGCUGUAACCAGAGCCAGGGAAAGGGGGGUGGGGCGCUGAGGCCCCGCUCCCUAAAGCCUGGAAAAAAGGAGGUCCAGCCUUUUAGGAGAGACGAAUACCUACCUGCAUGAGGAAUUAGCCAUGAAGAUCACCCAAUAGGCACAUUCAACACAAAGCCACCUUCUAAAUAUGGUCUUAACCCUGAGCUUCAGAGGAAUCUGAUAACCUGAUGAACAGGUUUAACUGAUUUGAAACAAUGGGUGAAGCCAGACUAAGCUUUGAACAAAGAAAAUGUAUCCUGAAGUGCUACUAGACUUUUUUUUUAAAUGGGGAUACAUAAAAGAUAAAGUUUACAGUACAAAACCAGCAACAAUUGACAAAUUGAGGGUGCACAAAUACCGAAUGAAAUGAUUCUUGAUAUUUGUAAUUCCAUUGCUUUGUGUUAUCAGCAGUGCCUGGACCAGAGCGGUCAUCGGUUUGAAAACAGGCAUUGACAAAAAAAUUAUUCAUUUCUGUAGAUUAUUUUAAAUUUUGAAAAUCAACUGUAAGUUAUUAAACAUUGACUUUAUAAUCA